CCCGAAACUAGACGAGCUACUCCAAGACAGCCUAUUACAGGGCAAACCCGUCUCUGUGGCAAAAGAGUGGGAAGAACUUUGAGUAGAGGUGACAGACCUACCGAGCCUAGUUAUAGCUGGUUGCCUAAGAAAUGGAUAGAAGUUCAGCCCCCCGUAUUUCCCGACCCAACCCAGUCUUCACUCAAGCUGGAUACAGGCCAAGCCGGGGGAGUUAGUCGAAGGAGGUACAGCUCCUUUGAAACAAGACACAACUUUACCAGGAGGAUAAAGAUCACAAUUAUUAAGGAAAAGUGCUCCAGUGGGCCUAAAAGCAGCCACCUCGAUAGAAAGCGUUAAAGCUCAGACACAUCCACCAACCCCAUAUACUGAUUAAUCAUCUAAACCCCCUAAUCCUACUAAGCCCUCUCAUGCAACCAUGAGAGAGACCCUGCUAAUAUGAGUAAUAAGAAAACCCUAGCUUUUCUCCUUGCACAAGUGUACAUCGGAACGGACCCCCCACCGACCCUUAAUCGGCCCCAAUCAAAGAGGGUAUUGAACAAUAAACCAAAAACUAGAAAAACAUUCAAAUACCGACCGUUAACCCCACACUGGAGUGCCCACAAGGAAAGACUAAGAGAGAAAAAAGGAACUCGGCAAACACAAGCCUCGCCUGUUUACCAAAAACAUCGCCUCUUGCAAAACAAAAAAUAAGAGGUCCCGCCUGCCCUGUGACUAUAUGUUUAACGGCCGCGGUAUUUUGACCGUGCGAAGGUAGCGCAAUCACUUGUCUUUUAAAUGAAGACCCGUAUGAAUGGCAUAACGAGGGCUUAGCUGUCUCUUUUCUCUAAGUCAAUGAAAUUGAUCUCCCCGUGCAGAAGCGGGGAUACUAACAUAAGACGAGAAGACCCUAUGGAGCUUUAGACACAAAGCAGCCCAAAUUAAAUACCCUGAAAUCAAACAGAAAAAUCGAAUGAACCCCUGCUCAAAUGUCUUUGGUUGGGGCGACCAUGGGGAAAAACCAAACCCCCACGUGGAACGGAAGAACUUCUUCUACAACCAAGAGCCGCCACUCUAAGUGACAGAAUCUCUGACCAUUAAUGAUCCGGUAUUACCGAUCAACGAACCGAGUUACCCUAGGGAUAACAGCGCAAUCCC
rnacentral:rRNA from 1 species